GAAAAACCUAUAAGACUUCUUGACUAUAACUAAUAUACCUUGAGAUCCGUCAAAGUAAAGCUCCUUAGCGCCUUUUUUAAACUUGCAAAAUACAUCACGAUUCGCGCUCCUUGCUGACAUGAACAAACCCACAUGCUAUUGGGCAUAACGACUUUGUAUCGUACUAAGAUAAGUAAUAAAGGGGAGCCUUGUGGGCCACCAGGUUACCUCUACCAAGAUUGUAUAUGAGUGUCUGAUAGGGCUAGUUCUAACUAGAAACGGUUGGUCGCUUAAUUGUAUGUUCUCCGACAGCACCUCCCUAUUGUAAAAAGCAGCAACACCUCCUCUUGGUCCUCUUACCAUUCGAGUUUUACAAUUAUUUUUUAAAUUUGCUAAAAGAACUUCUAAAUGGCUCAGCUUGGAUUCUCCAUCAACUAAACAAUUAGUCAUGCCUUUCUAGCACUCAAAGUGUCAUAUACUUAGCCAAAGGGUCGCUCAGUGCUAAGGAUCUUCCACAGCUGACCUCCAUACAGUUCGUUUGUUCGAUGCUCUUAAUCUCUCCACCUCGAGUUCUUCGUAAGCUCUUAAGUGUGUCACAAAAUUUUCUAGAUUUCUUCGGCUCAAUUGAAAGCUAUCCCAAUGAGGCGGGGGCAGCUAAAUCGCAGCCUUUUGAAAGAGCUCCACAUCAUUUAAUUACGGAGACCAUGAGUUUGUGUCUACCGCUACACUUGCUUGGGAGACACCUCUCUUUUAAUUUAACUUAGAUUGGUUCUAAUUUCAUAAAUAUUUUUACAUAUCCCUCCAUUUCUUGUAGGAGGGAACUCUUGAAUCGCAGCUUUUGAAAGAGCUCCGGCUCAUAUAACGGGGACCACGAGUUUGUAUCUAAUGUAACACUGCAGGGAGGCUUCACCAUAGAUAAACAGCGCUAGUCCCACUUGCUCACUCCAAUCCUUUUUUCCUUGCACGGGAGUAGUGCUUUAUAAAGUUUAAAGUCAAUUUCAAUUUUUAGGGACUUUUCCAUACAACUUGUCGGCACACUCUGGCGGCUUAAAUUUGGUAGUC